rnacentral:rRNA from 1 species
CCUACGGGCGGCAGCAGUAGGGAAUAUUGCUCAAUGGGGGAAACCCUGAAGCAGCAACGCCGCGUGGAGGAUGAAGGUUUUCGGAUUGUAAACCCCUUUUGUUAGAGAAGAUAAUGACGGUAUCUAACGAAUAAGCACCGGCUAACUCCGUGCCAGCAGCCGCGGUAAUACGGAGGGUGCAAGCGUUACUCGGAAUCACUGGGCGUAAAGAGCGCGUAGGCGGGAAAGCAAGUCAGAUGUGAAAUCCUAUGGCUUAACCAUAGAACUGCAUUUGACACUGUUAGUCUAGAGUAUGGGAGAGGUAGGUGGAAUUCUUGGUGUAGGGGUAAAAUGCGUAGAGAUCAAGAGGAAUACUCAUUGCGAAGGCGACCUGCUAGAACAUAACUGACGCUGAGGCGCGAAAGCGUGGGGAGCAAACAGGAUUAGAUACCCUUGUAGGC